rnacentral:rRNA from 1 species
CAGGCGGUUAGAUAAGUNUGAAGUUAAAGGCUGUGGCUUAACCAUAGUACGCUUUGGAAACUGUUUAACUUGAGUGCAGAAGGGGAGAGUGGAAUUCCAUGUGUAGCGGUGAAAUGCGUAGAUAUAUGGAGGAACACAGGUGGCGAAAGCGGCUCUCUGGUCUGUAACUGACGCUGAGGCUCGAAAGCGUGGGGAGCGAACAGGAUUAGAUACCCUGGUAGUNCACGCCGUAAACGAUGAGUGCUAGGUGUUAGGCCCUUUCCGGGGCUUAGUGCCGCAGCUAACGCAUUAAGCACUCCGCCUGGGGAGUACGACCGCAAGGUUGAAACUCAAAGGAAUUGACGGGGGCCCGCACAAGCGGUGGAGCAUGUGGUUUAAUUCGAAGCAACGCGAAGAACCUUACCAGGUCUUGACAUCCCGAUGCCCGCUCUAGAGAUAGAGUUUUACUUCGGUACAUCGGUGACAGGUGGUGCAUGGUUGUCGUCAGCUCGUGUCGUGAGAUGUUGGGUUAAGUCCCGCAACGAGCGCAACCCUUAUUGUUAGUUGCCAUCAUUCAGUUGGGCACUCUAGCGAGACUGCCGGUAAUAAACCGGAGGAAGGUGGGGAUGACGUCAAAUCAUCAUGCCCCUUAUGACCUGGGCUACACACGUGCUACAAUGGCUGGUACAACGAGUCGCAAGUCGGUGACGGCAAGCUAAUCUCUUAAAGCCAGUCUCAGUUCGGAUUGUAGGCUGCAACUCGCCUACAUGAAGUCGGAAUCGCUAGUAAUCGCGGAUCAGCACGCCGCGGUGAAUACGUUCCCGGGCCUUGUACACACCGCCCGUCACACCACGAGAGUUUGCAACACCCGAAGUCGGUGAGGUAACCUUUUAGGAGCCAG